GAGAGCAUGUAGUAGCGCGCGCGAGACAGUCGGAGUUGUGUGUGUGGAGUCGGCGGGCGUCGACAUGGCCCUCUGGUCAAGAUUCAGGACGAGGUAUAUUUUUUAAAUAAGGUUCAAUAUGUGGGCUUCCGGAAUUUGCGCCAAUGACCAAUGCUGCAAGGGGUCCUUCCACUUGGUGCAGCGGUUACAGUGACCGCCUGAUGUGGAUACAAAAAUGUAGACAAAAGUCUAAGGAAAACCACUAUAUCAUCAGAUUCAACAUUAAUUUUUACAGUUGCAUCUUCUCCCCGUACAGGUGGCUUCUUACCCAGCAUUCAAUGGAAGAUGCCAGCUAUACAGUGCUUUCAGUAUCACUGUGUAGCUAUCAUGUGUUCAAAUAUUUAACGUUUAUAUUUUCUAUGUAGUUAAAUGCAGGAUCAUAUUUCAACUC